GUGCCAGCAGCCGCGGUAAUACAGAGGCCCCAAGCGUUACUGAGAAUCACUGGGUUUAAAGGGUGCGUAGGUGGUUUGUUAAGUCUGUUGUGAAAUCCCCGGGCUCAACCCGGGAACUGCUUCGGAUACUGGCAAACUUGAGGUCGGUAGGGGUCACUGGAACUGAUGGUGGAGCGGUGAAAUGCGUAGAUAUCAUCAGGAACGCCAAUGGUGAAGACAGGUGACUUGGCCGAAUCUGACACUGAGGCACGAAAGCGUGGGGAGCGAACGGGAUUAGAUACCCCUGUAGUCC
rnacentral:rRNA from 1 species